CAGCAGCCACGGUAAUACGUAGGGUGCAAGCGUUAAUCGGAAUUACUGGGCGUAAAGCGUGCGCAGGCGGUUAUAUAAGACAGAUGUGAAAUCCCCGGGCUCAACCUGGGAACUGCAUUUGUGACUGUAUAUCUAGAGUACGGCAGAGGGGGAUGGAAUUCCGCGUGUAGCAGUGAAAUGCGUAGAUAUGCGGAGGAACACCGAUGGCGAAGGCAAUCCCCUGGGCCUGUACUGACGCUCAUGCACGAAAGCGUGGGGAGCAAACAGGAUUAGAUACCCCUGUAGUCCCUGUCUCUUAUAC
rnacentral:rRNA from 1 species